CCUACGGGAGGCAGCAGUGAGGAAUAUUGGUCAAUGGACGAGAGUCUGAACCAGCCAAGUAGCGUGAAGGAUGACUGCCCUAUGGGUUGUAAACUUCUUUUAUAUGGGAAUAAAACGUUCCACGUGUGGGAUUUUGUAUGUACCAUAUGAAUAAGGAUCGGCUAACUCCGUGCCAGCAGCCGCGGUAAUACGGAGGAUCCGAGCGUUAUCCGGAUUUAUUGGGUUUAAAGGGAGCGUAGGUGGAUGGUUAAGUCAGUUGUGAAAGUGUGCGGCUCAACCGUAAAAUUGCAGUUGAAACUGGCAGUCUUGAGUACAGUAGAGGUGGGCGGAAUUCGUGGUGUAGCGGUGAAAUGCUUAGAUAUCACGAAGAACUCCGAUUGCGAAGGCAGUUCACUGGACUGCAACUGACACUGAGGCUCGAAAGUGUGGGUAUCAAACAGGAUUAGAUACCCCAGUAGUC
rnacentral:rRNA from 1 species